rnacentral:misc_RNA from 1 species
GAUGAAGAACGUAGCGAAAUGCGAUACGUAAUGUGAAUUGCAGAUUUCAGUGAAUCAUCGAAUCUUUGAACGCACAUUGCGCCCGCCAGUAUUCUGGCGGGCAUGCCUGUUCGAGCGUCAUUUCAACCAUCAAGCGCCUCGCUUGUGUUGGGGCCCUGCGGCUGCCGCAGGCCCCUAAAUCCAGUGGCGGGCUCGUCGUCGUACCGAGUGCAGUAAACAUCCUCGCUCAGGGAACCCGACGGGUGCCGGCCGUGAAACCCCCCCUCCUCAAGGUUGACCUCGGAUCAGGUAGGAAUACCCGCUGAACUUAAGCAUAUAAAUAAGCGGAGGA